AUUGGACGCUGGCGGCGUGCUUAACACAUGCAAGUCGUGCGGUAACAGGCGUAGCAAUACGUGCUGACGAGCGGCGAACGGGUGCGUAAUACAUGGGAAUCUGCCUUUUAGUGGGGAAUAACCCGGCGAAAGCCGGGCUAAUGCCGCAUAAGAUCUUCGGAUGAAAGCGGGGGAUCGUAAGACCUCGCGCUGAUAGAUGAGCCCAUGCCGGAUUAGCUAGUUGGNGAGGUAACGGCUCACCAAGGCGACGAUCCGUAGCUGGUCUGAGAGGACGGCCAGCCACACUGGGACUGAGACACGGCCCAGACUCCUACGGGAGGCAGCAGUGGGGAAUAUUGGACAAUGGGGGAAACCCUGAUCCAGCGACGCCGCGUGUGUGAAGAAGGCCUGCGGGUUGUAAAGC
rnacentral:rRNA from 1 species